GACGUAGGGCGCGAGCGUUGUCCGGAUUUAUUGGGCGUAAAGAGCUCGUAGGCGGCUUGUCGCGUCGAAUGUGAAAACUCGGGGCUCAACCCCGCGCUUGCAUUCGAUACGGGCAGGCUCGAGUUCGGUAGGGGAGACUGGAAUUCCGUGGUGUAGCGGUGAAAUGCGCAGAUAUCAGGAGGAACACCGGUGGCGAAGGCGGGUCUCUGGGCCGAUACUGACGCUGAGGAGCGAAAGCGUGGGGAGCGAACAGG
rnacentral:rRNA from 1 species